CAGUCGCCGCGGUAAUACGGAGGGGGCUAGCGUUGUUCGGAAUUACUGGGCGUAAAGCGUGCGUAGGUGGUGGUUUAAGUCCGUUGUGAAAGCCCUGGGCUCAACCUGGGAAUUGCAGUGGAUACUGGAUCACUAGAGUGUGGUAGAGGAUAGUGGAAUUUCCGGUGUAGCAGUGAAAUGCGUAGAGAUCGGAAGGAACAUCUGUGGCGAAGGCGACUAUCUGGGCCAACACUGACACUGAGGCACGAAAGCGUGGGGAGCAAACAGGAUUAGAUACCCCUGUAGUCCCUGUCUCUUAUAC
rnacentral:rRNA from 1 species